UACAGAGGGGGCAAGCGUUGUUCGGAAUUACUGGGCGUAAAGGGCGCGUAGGCGGCCUGUUAAGUCGGACGUGAAAUCCCCGGGCUCAACCCGGGAACUGCGUCCGAUACUGGCAGGCUUGAAUCCGGGAGAGGGAUGUGGAAUUCCAGGUGUAGCGGUGAAAUGCGUAGAUAUCUGGAGGAACACCGGUGGCGAAGGCGGCAUCCUGGACCGGAAUUGACGCUGAGGCGCGAAAGCCAGGGGAGCAAACGGG
rnacentral:rRNA from 1 species